rnacentral:rRNA from 1 species
AAAGAGCUCGUAGGUGGUUUGUCGCGUUGUUCGUGAAAACUCACAGCUCAACUGUGGGCGUGCGGGCGAUACGGGCAGACUGGAGUACUGCAGGGGAGACUGGAAUUCCUGGUGUAGCGGUGGAAUGCGCAGAUAUCAGGAGGAACACCGGUGGCGAAGGCGGGUCUCUGGGCAGUAACUGACGCUGAGGAGCGAAAGCGUGGGGAGCGAACAGGAUUAGAUACCCUGGUAGUCCACGCCGUAAACGGUGGGUACUAGGUGUGGGUUUCCUUCCUUGGGAUCCGUGCCGUAGCUAACGCAUUAAGUACCCCGCCUGGGGAGUACGGCCGCAAGGCUAAAACUCAAAGAAAUUGACGGGGGCCCGCACAAGCGGCGGAGCAUGUGGAUUAAUUCGAUGCAACGCGAAGAACCUUACCUGGGUUUGACAUGCACAGGACGUGCCUAGAGAUAGGUAUUCCCUUGUGGCCUGUGUGAAAAAAAGUGCAUGGCUGUCGUCAGCUCGUGUCGUGAGAUGUUGGGUUAAGUCCCGCAACGAGCGCAACCCUUAUCUUAUGUUGCCAGCGCGUAAUGGCGGGGACUCGUGAGAGACUGCCGGGGUCAACUCGGAGGAAGGUGGGGAUGACGUCAAGUCAUCAUGCCCCUUAUGUCCAGGGCUUCACACAUGCUACAAUGGCCGGUACAAAGGGCUGCGAUGCCGUGAGGUGGAGCGAAUCCUUUCAAAGCCGGUCUCAGUUCGGAUCGGGGUCUGCAACUCGACCCCGUGAAGUCGGAGUCGCUAGUAAUCGCAGAUCAGCAACGCUUCGGUGAAUACGUUCCCGGGCCUUGUACACACCGCCCGUCUCGUCAUGAAAGUCGGUAACACCCGAAGCCGGUGGCCUAA